rnacentral:tRNA from 2 species
GCCCGGGUGGUGAAAUCGGUAGACACGAGGGACUUAAAAUCCCUUGCCUAUUCAAACGGCGUGCGGGUUCAAUUCCCGCCCCGGGCA